rnacentral:lncRNA from 1 species
AAAGUACAGAGUCACGUUAUAAGCACAAAAGAAAUACAAAGAGUCACAUAUACAAAACAAAUCACCAAAAAAUGAAAGCCAAUACAAACACAUUGACGAGAUGUAUAAGUACCGAGCCACGUCAAACGGAUAUCACAUAAAACCAUUCAACAGUAAAAGUAAUCUUAAUAAUAGAACAAAAACAAAUAAAAGAACAAUAAAACAUGUUGUUAAGAUGAUACACAACAUCAGUAAGCAGAAUAA